UCUCCUAGUCGAAAGGGUCAGCUAACAGAGGAUUACUUUCAACGGAUUGAUGCUAUUGAUUUUACCAUCAAACAGGAUGAUGGGGCUCAGCCACAAAACCUCAAACGUGCAGACAUUGUACUUGCCGGUGUUUCACGUACAGGGAAGACACCAUUGUCAAUGUAUCUAGCUCAAAAGGGAUACAAGGUAGCGAAUGUGCCAAUUGUGAUGGGAGUGAAACUUCCAAAGUCCCUUUUUGAGAUUAACCAGGACAAGAUUUUUGGAUUGACAAUAAACCCAGUGGUUCUUCAAGCAAUUAGAAAGACUAGGGCCAAAGCUCUAGGUUUUGCUGACGGGUAUCAGAGCAAUUAUGCUGAAAUGGAACACGUGAGGCAGGACCUGGCCCAUGCAAAUCAAAUUUUUGCUGAAAAUCCAAGGUGGCCAGUCAUUGGUAAGUCAAGUUAGUUAUAUUCAUGAAACCUUUUUCUUUGUUUAAAAACAUGCUUUGAUACUGUUUUCAUGCAGCGGUCACUGGAAAAGCUAUAGAGGAAACAGCUGCUAUCAUUGUGAGGAUUCUCCAGGACAGGAAAGAGAAGUGCUCCAUGCCACGCAUAUCAAAACGGUACUAGCAUUUUGUUCUAUCCCUUCUACUACACCUUGUAACGUGUGCAUGUUUUGAUAAGCUCCUGUAAAGCACCAUGUAUUUUUGUUGGACCACCUUCUGGGUGGCGUUUGUAUCUUAAAGAUAACUUGACGUUUAGCGCAGUAGAAACGAAUGUAUAUUGCAUUUACGACCUUCUGUCGGCCUCACUUUAUUUGGUCAUUAGAGAAAUUCUAUGCCAGGUAAAAUAGUAGGGUGAAAUGCCUUUGUGCAAAGAAAAUCAGAGUAAUAUCUCCUGCAGGAAUCUCAACCCCAUGACCACAAAACUUUUAGUUGUCUGGGUGGCAGGGACAAAUCAUCACAUGUGAACCUGAAUAUUCUAACUUUCCUCAUGCUUGGAUGCUCACAUUUGUUUUUUCAAGUACUCGCCCAUAGUAUUGUUUGAUUUUUUUUGGUUAAAAAAUACGCACUUUUGAAUUAGAUAGGCUAACCUUUCCCGAAAGGAGUUCAAAAUGUAUUCGUACCCAAUCUAAAGAUCAGAUGCCUUCAGUUUUUUUUUUUUUUUGUUGAUUUUCUUUUGCUGUUUUUUUAUCAAGUCCUGUUUCUGUUUUUAGUGUUCAUUUAGCUUGAUAGAUCUUGCUCUUUGGUCCCGAUGCCUUUACAACGACCGGAUAAUGUGAAAUGUUGUUUUCUACUCUUUCUAUAUUUUUUCUGGUUACUGUUCUAAGUGAGCAUCUUGUGGAUGUGGUUGAAAGUACCAGGAUGAACUUUUUUUUUUUGAUAAGAGGAUGAACUUCUGGUUGUAUGUAUGCUUGGGUUCCUCGAAACAUUGUUGUUGUUAGUGCCACAGUGCAUAGAGUUCCUCAAAACGCCACCGCUGUCCGCUCGAAGGGAAAGCAAUGCAAAAUCGUUUGCUCUGUGACGAACAGUGAAAGGCAUUCUUCUCGAGACCGACCGCUGGACUCAACGCCGCCCUCAGCCUAGCUCCACAAUGAUUGGGAGCGCCAAGCCGCUCGCGGUCGCGGCGCCGUUGCAGCCGCCGUCCCCCGCCGGUCGCCGCCUCGCCCCAUUGUUCUGCGCCCCUGACUCCUCUCCAGCUCUCACCCGCGCCGUCGAGAGCCCAGGCCAAUCUCAGUCUGACGGCGCCCCACCACCACGCCCGGAUGAGGUCGCCUCGUCCCUCACGCGGCGAGCGAGCCCGCAGCUCAGUCGGUGGUCCCGCUUGCGAACGCUGCGGUCGAACCGCCGGCCUGGGCUGGACCGUGGGGUGCUCUCCUCGGCCUCGUCCUCGGCCUCGGCGCCGCCGGUGACCAAGACGUCGCGGCCCGAGGACGGUGCGGUGGCGGUGGAGGAUGGAGAGGACGACGACGUGCCUGGUGGGAAGUCCAUCUACAUAGUGUCGGAUGGGACCGGGUGGACCGCGGAGCACUCGGUGAACGCCGCGCUCGGACAGUUCGAGCACUGCUUCGUCGACCGCGGCUGUGCUGUCAACACCCACCUCUUCUCCAUGGUAAAUAUCUCGCCAUGCCUUCAUAUACUUCUUUUUCCUUUUUUGGCUAGAAGUACGUUCAUGCUGUGCUAACUGCUGACAGAGUGAGUAGCUAUCAUGGAAGAUGUUCAGUUUUGUCAUCUAAUACCGAGCUACCCAUUAGGGGGCCUGCAAUUUUUGGACAGUAGCUGUAAAUAUGGAUGACGCCACAAGUGUAACUGGAUAAUUGAACAUGAAAUGCUAAUUUAGAGAAAUAAAACUGAGGAAGAGCUAGAUCUUCGAGGACAAAUCAUUGACUGCUAGCUUUACGGAUGGAAUUUAACGCCCUGCUCUGUACUGAUAUGUGCACAAGUUUGAUCUAUUUUCAGGUUGAUUAUAGUACAACUACUAUCAAUUACUGUGCUAUGCUACAGGUUCUCAAUUUGAAGAUAAUUUAUUUGUAAUACAGAAAUUUUAUAUUUUGGACGCUUUCUUUGAGUGAAGAUAAAUUCACAAUCUCCAAGCGUAUGCAUAUGGAUCAUGUACUGGGGUAGAUGGUAGAGGCAGAAGUUUUGUGCAAAAUUUAUUUUAUUGGUUUUUGUCUGGGUCUUGUACGCACGUUAAUAAUUGUUUGUGCAGAGGCAACUAUAUGUAUCAGGCAGUUGGGUUGUUGGGAUACUAGUUAUCAACGUAUAUGUUAGUUUUUUUUGUCUGUUUGUGUUGAUCAUAUUGUUGGAGAAAAGCAGAUGUUUGUCAUAUUCAGAAAAUCCCGACUUGGUGCUAGUUAUCCACGUUUCUACCUGCGUUGGCUUGAAAAAUGUUAGCUGCACAUCACUUUUUAGUAAUAGGCUGCAUCUUUUGUAAGUAACAGCUUUUGAUAAUGAUCUGUAGAUUAACGACAUGGAUCGAAUUCUUGAGGUAAUAAAGCAAGCAGCAAAGGAAGGGGCACUGGUUCUAUAUACCCUUGCUGAUCCUUCAAUGGCUGAGUCAGCUAAGAAGGCCUGCGAUUUCUGGGGUGUUCCAUCCACUGAUGUCCUCCGGCCUACUGUUGAAGCCAUUGCUUCUCAUAUGGGUGUUGCUCCAUCUGGAAUUCCACGAAGCUCUCCUAGUCGACCGUGUCAGCUAACAGAGGAUUACUUUCGACGGAUUGAUGCCAUCGAUUUUACCAUCAAACAAGAUGAUGGGGCACAGCCAGAGAACCUCAACCGUGCAGACAUUGUACUUGCCGGCGUUUCACGUACAGGGAAGACACCAUUGUCGAUAUAUCUAGCCCAAAAGGGAUACAAGGUAGCAAAUGUCCCAAUUGUGAUGGGAGUGAAUCUUCCAAAGACUCUUUUUGAGAUCAGCCAAGACAAGGUUUUUGGAUUGACAAUAAACCCAGUGGUUCUUCAAGCAAUUAGAAAGACUAGGGCCAAAGCUCUAGGUUUUGCUGAUGGGCAGAGCAAUUAUGCUGAAAUGGAUCAUGUGAGGCAGGAACUGCUCCAUGCAAAUCAAAUUUUUGCUCAAAAUCCAAUGUGGCCAGUCAUUGGUAAGUCUAGUUGUAUUCAUGAAACCUUUUGUUUGUUAUUUCUUUAUUUAAAAACAUGCUUUGAUACUGUUUUCAUGCAGCGGUCACUGGGAAAGCUAUAGAGGAAACAGCUGCUGUCGUUGUGAGGAUUUACCUUGACAGGAAACAGAAGUACUCCAUGCCACGCAUAUCAAAACGGUACUAGCAUUGUGUUCUAUCCCUUCUAUUACACCUUGUAAUGUGUGCGUGUUGAUAAGCUCUGUGUCAAGCACCAUAGCCUUUAUGUUUUUUUUUGUUAGACCACCUUCUAGGUGGCGCAGCAGAAACAAAUGUAUAUUGUAUUUACGACCUUCUAUUGGCCUCAUUGUAUUUGGUCAUUAGAGAAUUUCUAUGUCAGGUAAAAUAGUAGGUGAAGCCUUUGUGCAAAUCACCAGAAAAUUAGAGUAAUUAUCUCCUGCAGGAAACUCAACCCCAUGAUCACAAACCUUCUAGUUGUCUGGCUGGCAGGGACAAAUCAUUACAUGUGGACAUGAACAUUCUAACUUUCCUCCUGAACAAGGAUUUUUCAAGGCGCUCAGAUGCUCACCUUUGUUUUUUCAAGUGUUCGCCCAUAGUAUUGUUUGAUUUUCUUUGGGUUAAAAUAUACGCACUUUUCAAUUAGAUUGGCUAAUUUUUCCUGAAAGGAGUUCAAAAUGCGUUUGUACCCAACCUGAAGAUCAGAUGCCUUCAGUUUUUUUUGGCUGAUUUUUCUUUUGUUGUUUCUUUACCAAGUCCUGUUUCAGUUAUCCUGUUAGUGUUCAUUUAGCUUGAUAGAUCUUGCUCUUUGGUCCCGAUGCCAUUAAAAUGACCGCAUAAUGUUGAAUGAUGUUUUCUACUGUUUCAAUUUUUCCUGGUUGCUGUGCGAACUUAGCAUCUUGUGGAUGUGGUUAAAAGUACCAGGGCGAACUUCUGGUAGUAUGUGUGCUUGGAUUUAUUAUCUGAUGGACCAGGAACAACACCCUGAAGUGAGAUACAGACAUCCUCACUCUGAAAGUCUGAUUGAGAUGAAACUGUAGCGGACUCAAGAGCUGACAUAAGGAUCUUUGGAAUGGUCUUAAGAUAAUCUUUACUACUUGAUAUGUGUUUCCAUUUGAUAUAACUACAUAGAAAUAGGCUAUACUCGCAACGACUGAGUGAAAACGAGUUACCUGAAAGAUACAAGGCUCAACGCCGGACCAACUGGUCUAGCGGGCUCAUAAACGGUCGUUUGACAUGAAACUUUUAGCAUUAAACUGAGUAACUUAAGAAAUCCGUUUGUGUUGUUGCAGGGUGGCUCCAGCUCUAGUAACACUUAUAUCGAGUAUCACAAGGUCUUUGCUACGGAGCGUAAAGCUAUUAAAUUUGGCAAAUUUUAUCUAAAACUAGCUGGCUAGAUUAGAGUAAGUACAAUAAUGAUCUUAUAGCUAAGUAGACGUUGACGUAGAUGAAAGAAGAGAGGAGAGCUUAACUCUAAUCCAAACAAUAAGCUGGGCUCGAUGCCUAUGUAACGGUGGGUCCAAAUAUCAAGUAAAUAUGAGGAGGAUUAGGAAAGAGAAGGUAAGAUUCGUGUGAAACUAACAAUAAAAAAGUUUCUUAUGAAUGAUCUUGACUCUUACGACUUGGCUAACAGCUAAAAUAAUGUUGGACUUUGCCACAGUGCAUAGAGGGUCUCAGAUCAUCCCUUGUGAUUCACAUCAUUCUUUACUUGUCCACUGCAAAAAUAAUGGAGUUUUCCUAGUGUUUUAAACGGUAAUAAGAACACUACACCAGCCUAGCAUAUGAGAAUCCUCACUAGAAUAUAUUUAAUAGAGAAAAGCUCGUACUACAUGUUGAAUACUAACAUUAGGAAAAAUUCACGUCACUAGAAUAGGCUGCAGAUUCUGGUCAUUGUUCAUUGAGGUUAGAUUUAGCGAAGAUAUAUAUGUACCAGUGUUGAAUAAAUGGCAUCCAAGCAAAGACUUGGAUAUCGCUGUUAAGAUACGUAUCGCAAUUUGUUUGGUUGUGCUUUUAGCAUCGUGGGGGAAUAAAAAUCCAGUAUUAUUUGUUACCUUGUUAAGUGACAUGUAUCCCCUUUCUGAGAAAAUUCCAAAAAAAACAAAAGAGAGAGGGAGAAUAAAAGAAGAAACAAAGAUGUCUACCAUCACAAACUUCUCCAUCAAAAAUCCCCAGCCGGGUCGAUUUCUUCGCUGCCGUAGUGUCGUUCUUCCACGCUGGCCUUUCAGAUUCACGAAGCGCUACUCCUUUCUUUUUAUAUAUAUGCUGGACCACGGUAUUCUUCUCAACAUUUGCAGGUUUGAAAAUUCUUAGGUCAAGCUUUCACCUAGAAACUUUUUGUCUCAUCACAUCAAAUAUUUAGACACAUAUAUGAAACAUUAAAUAUAGAUUUAAAAAAUAACUAAUUAUACAGAUUGUAUGUAUUUUACGAAAUAAAAUUUUUAAAACUGAUUUAUCCAUGAUUAAAUAUUAAUUACUAUAGUUACAAAUAUAUUACACUAUCCAAAAAAUUUUCUUUUCAACAAGACCUCGCGGGAAAUGCCCCCUUCGCUCUCAACGGCCGGCGUUUCACCGGGCAUUCUGCCGCCACCACUACUGUAGUCCGCCGAUAGAAUGAAGUAGAGGAGGAUCAGCGUUUCCACGCUGGACCUAGAAAAAUCAGACAAAUCUUUUAACCUUAAUUUUUUUUAAAAAAAUCUAAAUUUAAUAUUAUUAUUUUUUAUUUUUAAAACUAACCCAUUUGACCAUGUCUGCCAUGGUGGACAACGAUUUUCAUGUGAAAAAACCUUGCCGUGCCAUUCUUAAGGUGCAGAAGCACUAUAGUGCCGCGUUAUAGUGUGGCAAAACACAACUUUAAAAUAUAUAUUUUUUUCAUAUAAUUUUGGAUAAAAAUAGUCGUUAUAUAAAAAUUGUAUCUCUAGAUGAGAUUUAUAACUUCUAGCUUUGAGGCCUUGUUUAGUUCAAAAAAAUUUUAAGAUUUCCCAUCACAUCGAAUCUUGCGGCACACGCAUGGUGCAUUAAAUAUACAUAAAAACAAAAACUAAUUGUAUAGUUUAUCUGUAAAUCACGAGAUAAAUUUUUAAAGUCUAGUUACUCCAUGAUUAGACAAUGUUUAUCAAAUAAAAAUGAAAAUACUAUAAUGUCGAAAUCCAAAAAAAUUUACGAACUGAACCAGUCCUGAGUUUUUUUUUUAUUGGAGCGUGUCGACGUCAGGGUCGCGUACGCGCAUCCGCUUCGCCGUGGGGCUUCCCCACGAUACUCCAGCCCUCUCCUUCCACAUCUACCUCGGUGAUUUCCUCUCCCGCAUCUUCCCCUCUGCUGGCCGUGUCAUUGCCAACGCCGACACGGGCGUGCCCGCUAUCGACUGUGACAACGCCGGCACGGAGCUCGUGGUGGCGCACGCUGAGGUGAGGCACCAACCACCUGCUCGUGGACGGCCACGGCCUGCCGGCGUUGCCCAACGCGUGGGCGGAGGCACGGAGAUACUCUGCACCGUCGUGCACCGCAACUACGUGGAGUCCGCCACGACGUCGGGUGUGGUGGACACGCGCCACCUGCAGCUAGCAGCGCCACCAUCUCCUCUGCGGCAAUGACGGGGGCUGCUACAGUCCCGUCCAUUCGGACCGAGACCACCGUCCGGCAGCUUCCCGCCUAUUUUUCCCGCCUCUUGUAUCACAUGCAAAUUUAAUUAGCAGCUGGCAGAGGUAGCCUACGGUAGACAGAGGUAGCAUGCAUAAAGCUAAAGUUGUCAUAUCUAGCUGGCCCACCACAAUCAAUUCAGCCUUCAGCUCAUGCACGUGAUUUUUAACGAAACAAAAAAAAAAGUCAUAACUACUAAACCAAAUAUUAAAACUAAAUUUCGAUUUGACCAUCGAGUUCCUUACAAUAAAUCCUUCAAAACAAGAUCUCACAUGAAUAUAUUUAGAUAACUUUUUUUAACGAACAUUUAUUUUAUAAAGAUAGAACAUUUUUAUUUAUUUAUCAGAAAUGAUGUUCUAUGUUCAAAAAAAUAAUGUUCUAUCUUUGUAAGAAGAGUGUUCGUUCAUAAAACUGGUAUUAUAAUAUACAUAAAAAUAAAUAUAUAAUAACAUAAAUAAAAAUAAUAAAAUGUAGAGCAAAAACAUAAGACAAAAAAAUAAAACAUGUUAUAGAAAAAAAUUAAAAGAAUAUCACAUAGAUGCUUUUUAAACAUCCUAAAAAUAUGCUAUAGAACACCACAUGUAUACUAAACGAACAUUGUUAGAAAUACCAUAGAACAUCAUUUAAUGCAUUAUAGAACAUCACAUAUAUAUUAUGUGAACACUAAUAAAAUACAUCACAGAACAACAUAUGUGUAGUAAGUGAACAUCACUAAAUAUAUCAUAGAACAUUACUAAAUAAAAUAUAGAACAUCACAUAUAUUAUGUGAACAUUACUAAAUACAUCAUAGAAAAUAAAAUGUAUAUUAGGUGAACAUCACUAGAUAUAUCAUAGAACAUUACUAAAUACAAUAAGAACAUCGCAUAUAUAUUAAGUGAACAUCACUAGAUAUAUCAUAGAACAUUACUAAAUACAAUAUAGAACAUCGCAUAUAUAUUACGUGAAUAUCACUAAAUACAUACCACAGUAUUAUAUGUUUAGUAUGUGAACAUAAAAAACACCAUAGAACAUCUCGUUUAUAAUUAUUAGUAAAGAAACAAAGAACAUUACAUGCACAACAUGCGAGCAUCAAAAUAAUAAGAAAAUAAAAAAAAUAAAAGAAACAUAAAAUAUAAAAAGUUAAAAGAGUAUUAAAAAACAUAAAACAAAAAAAUAGUGAAGCAUGAAAAUAUAAAAUAAAUGAAAAGGAAAAACUAUAGAAAACAUUAAGUAAAAAGAGAACAAGAAAAAGAGAGAAAAAAGAAUAAACAUAAAAACAAAAUUAAAUGAAGUAAACAAAAAAAGAAAUAUGAAAACAUAAAAAAAAUCACAUGAAACAAAAAUAAUAAAUUGAAGCAAGGAAAAAAAAUAAUAAGAAAAGGAAAGGAAAGAAAAUAAAAAGCAAAAGUAAAAAAUAAAGAUAAACAAUUUAAAAAAUGAAAAGAAUAAUAAAAACACAUAAAACAAAAAAAAAUAAAAAAUAAAUUAAGCACAAAAAGGAAAUAAAAAGAAAAAAUAAAUGAAGCACAAAAAGAAAAGAAAAACCAAAAAAAGAAAAUGGCACUUCGCCCAUACGCCCAAAAACAUAGGUUAGCCCAUCGCCCGUGGACGGCGGUCGCGAGACGGCAACAACAGUUUGUGGAGACACAAGGGCUAAAUAUAGUAUAAAUAAAGAAUAAUAAUAAUAAAUUGAAUGAAAUAAAUACAAAAAAUAAUAUCGAUCCACGCGCUUGUAUGUAGAUUUUUUAGUUUUUCUCUAUAUGUAACUAAUAUCAGUCUACUAAAAGGAUUGAACAACUACUACCCAACAUGAUCAUCCAGAGGCAUUUGUUGUGCUUCCACCGCAUGCAUACCGCAAAAAACGAUCCAAUAAAUACCUUCAUAACUAACGCUAUAUUAAUGUGUUGGUAAAUAAAACAAAAAAAUAAUAAUGAAGAAAAGAAAUAGAAAGUAAUAAGAAAAUAAAAUAAAAUAAAUAAAUUGAAGCAGAAAAAGGAAUAGAAAAAUAAAUAAAGAAAAUAAAAAAGUAAAAAAUAAAGAUAAAAUAAACAUAGUAAAAUAAAAAUAAGAUAAACAAAAAAAGUAAAAGUAAAAUCAAAUUGAAGCUAUAAAAAGAAAAUAAGAAAAAAAAAGAACAGAAACAAAAAAAUAAAGAAAAUAAAAAUACCAAGAAAAAAGGAAAAGAAACAUAAAGAAAAAGAAAAAAAGAAAACUAGACAACAGCGAAUGAGAGGGAAAAAAUAAUAAAGAAAAAGAAAAGAAGAUAAAAUAAGGAAAAAAGAAAAAAUAGGAAACAAAAAGGAAAACAUACGCACCUGGAUGAAAACCGUCGCCCGUACAUGCGAGUAGCAGCUGCUCGCGUCCACACGCGGGAACAUCGCGCGGGAAUCAUCGGACCGAGACUCCCGUCCGAACGUUCGGACGGGAAGAAUCCCGGGCAAUGACAGUGUCCAGAUUCUGCAACAAUGACAAGCGUCAUCCCAGAUUAUGCAGACAUCCGCCAUUGCUUACUGAUUCGUGGAUGUCUUGCGAACACAGAUAUUGCCACGGGUUUUUUGUUACCUGAAAAGCAUGUUGUUGCCUGGACACUAGUGUCAUCGCCGGAUAGGGAAUGCAUAGACAUACCCAAAAUGCCAUCCUGCUAUAUUCUAGGACUCCUUGCUCGCCGCGGAUUCGUGAGGCGCUGGCCAGGAGCCCGUCGGCCGCGGGCGUGCCACCGUGAUGGCCUGGCUGUGGGGGGCUGGAGGUGGAGCGGGCGCGCGGACGCAGCGAGGCGAGGCGAGGCGUCCGUGGCCCGUGGGUGGGCUCGCGGCCUCGGACUAACGGAGGAGGCGAGAACUUGACGUCCGUAUGUAUUCGUGUAGACAUACUUGUGUGACAGACCCUUAUACGCAGCAAGUGUAGAAAAUAACAUGAAUAAGACAUAAAUAAAAUUAUAAUGGUAAAACUUUGAAUAGAUAAGCGUUUUUCUAAACUCAAAGAAUUGUAAAUUUAAGCAUCUUACUUAUAGAGGAGGGAGGAGGAAGCGACGGUAGGGCGCAGAUCUGAGCCGUUGGCUCUAGAUCAAACGGUCAAAACGGUGAUCAUGAAAACAAAAAUAACCAAAUCACGGUCUACAAGCUGUCGCUAGGAAAGCCCAAGUAGGCCAAGACGAGCGCAACAUCCAGCCCAAUGAAGCACUUGUCACCGUUUUCCCUCGCGGCCCGCGAGCACCGAUUUUCCUUUUCCCUUCACGUGCCGUUUCCGUGACCACUGACCACACUCACAGAGUUUUUACUCUGCACCGCGUGGCUGCAUCGCAAAAAGAGAAGAGGAGAACCUCAAAGCACAAAACACUACUGUACUGGUACUUCAGUAUUAAUAUUGCGUUUGCUAUUGCUUCAGAAAGUCAGAAGUCAGGAGCAGCGGGCGGGUUCUGUUUACUUCCACCCAAAAACUCAAAAUUUUUCAAGAUUUUCUGUCACAUCGAAUCUUUAAACGCAUGCAUUUAGUAUUAAAUAUAGAUGAAAAACAAAAACUAAUUACACGGUUUGGUCGGAAUUAACGAGACGAAUCUUUUGAGCCUAGUUAGUCCAUAGUUAAACAAUAAUUACCACAAACAAACAAAAAUGCUACAGUGUCGCGAAAUUUUUUUCUUUCGUCAACUAAAAAGGCCGACGCAACGAGCUGUAUGCCUCUGCAUACUGUACAUCCGGAAUUGGAGCGCGUGCCAUAACGAUAAGGUACGAUUCCGUAUGUGAGUAGGCAACCAAUCUAGGCGUUUAAUUCCAAAAAAUUUGCAAAUUUUUUUAGAUUUUCCGUCAUAUCGAAUCUUUAGACGUAUGCAUGGAGUAUUAAAUAUAGAUAAAAAUAAAAACUAAUUACACAGUUUGGUCGUAAUUGACGAGACGAAUCUUUUGAGCCUAGUUAGUCUAUAAUUUAACAAUAUUUGUCAAAUAUAAACGAAAGUGCUACUAUUCCUAUUUUGUAAAAAAUUUUGGAAGUAAACAAGACCCUAUUAUAUCUGAAGGAGAAAUCCGAAAUGGCCAGGAAGACCAAAAUUAUCCGAGGUUAUCGUCAGUGCCCCGCUCGUCCCUUCCACUCGAUAUCCGAUAUUCCGGACGAAAAAGAUGUUGGUUAUUGUAAGGGUCUAAAUGGUUUAGUCACUUUUAGCAAUUUCAGAGUUGCAAAAAAGGACUAAAGCCAUUUUAGUCAUAUUUAGUCAGUAUAUGGCAACAAAGUGACCAAAAGUAACUAAAUAUAACUAAAUUUAGGAGCUACUAGAUGAACCAACUGCUUCCUAAAGCUCUGUAACUGAAAGGAAAACAGAUACAUGUUAUGACGGGGAGCCCAAAAGGAAAAGAUGACGUGCGAAUGCUGGAAGGCCCGAAGUCUAAUCACGGCACAGGCAAUAAUAGUGCGAGACAAUGGCGAUAGGGAAGACGGCGGAGCAAGAAAAUGGUGGGGCGAGAAGCACUGGCGGAACCAGGGGGUGGCAAGCAGGGGCCGUGGCCACCCCAACACUGUAGAAAAAAAUCAAUACCCUUGAAGAUUUUCAAUUUAUAGCACAUCAAACCGCCAAUUCAUUUGUUUUUUUAUCAUAGUAUUAUGACUUUUUAUCAUGAAUACAAACUACAUAUAUAAAAAUAUCAAAAUAUUGUUGAAAAUAUACUUAUAUUUAUAUUUAUCAUGUUUAAAAAUGUUAUUAUAUUUAUUCGGCUCUCUUUAAUCUAAAUUGUUGGUAAGACGGCGGCGCGACCUUCUUAGCAUGGUGCAGUCAGCUCCUUCCUCGAUUUGCCCCAACCUGGUUGCGCAGAUUCCGUGAGACGACGGCAACACGAGAUGCUACGGUAGACAGAUAGCGGAGUAGAGUUGUAGGAGCGGUCAAUAAGAGGUGGAGUCACGUUCGUGGUACGGUGGAGUCGUAGCUCUUACCGAAAUUUUGUAAAAUUUUUCAUAUUUCUCGUCACAUAGAAUUUUAUGAAAUAUUUAUUGAGUAUUAAAUAUAAAUUAAAAAAUAAUUAAUUAUAUAAUUUUUCUGUAAUUUGCGAGAUAAAUCUUCUGAGACUGGUUAGUCCAUAAUUAGACAUUAUUUGUCAAAUACAAACAAAAUUUCUACGGUGUUCAUUUUGCAAAAAGAAUUUACAACUAAAACGAGGCCUUGGUGGUUGGCAAGGCGAAAUCUACGGUUGGAGCCGCCGCAACUGAAUUCAUAUAAAUUUAGUCAAAAUUUAAACCGUUUGAUUUCUAAAAAAGCGAUAACUACAAUAUUUUAUGGACAGAGAAAGCAGAUAGAUUGAAAAAUUUGGUUUCCAGCAACUCUUUAUCUUAACUCCUGACCUCUCGGCACUUGAAAAAUCAACCUAGUCAUGAGGACAAAUAUGCAUGCAUAUCUGUUGCCCAAUUUGAAGGUGGAAGUACACGAAGAAGAAUAAAGAGUAGAAUAUGGUUCCUGAAUCCUGACGUAGAUAUACAAGAGACAAAGAAAAAAAUAAAAAUGAUUAACAUGGUUUGUAUAUUUAUCAUAUAAAAUUGUCUUGUAUAUUUUACAACCGUGAUUUUUGAAGCUGUUGGAGCAACCUAAGAAAUAUGCUCCUAACUUUUCUAGGCACUUGAAAAACACAUUGAUUUACCAAUUGCUUUUUUUAGAAUAUUGGAGAUUCUCUUACGAGAGAAGAAAAAAGAUAAUAGAAAAAAUAAAUAUAGGGGUAUUUUGGAUAUUUCACCCUUUUAACGAGGGUCUUGUUUACUUGCAAAAAAUUUAUAAAAUGUGAAUAGCAGCUCUUUCGUUUGUAUUUGACAAAUAUUGUCCAAUUAUAGACUAAGUAGGCUCAAAAGAUUUGUCUCGCAAAUUACAUGCAAACUGUGUAAUUAGUUAUCUUUUUUAGGCUCUGUUUAGUUCCCCACCCAAAAAAAUUUCAUGCAUCCCAUCGAAUCUUUGGACACAUGCAUGAAACAUUAAAUGUAGAUAAAAAAAUAAACUAAUUACACAGUUUGGUCGAAAAUCGCGAGAUGAAUCUUUUAAACCUAGUUAAUCCAUGAUUAGCCUUAAGUGCACAGUAACCCACAUGUGCUAAUGACAGAUUAAUUAUGCUUAAUAGAUUUGUCUUGCAGUUUCUAGACGAGCUAUGUAAUUUGUUUUUUAUUAGUUUCUAAAAACCUCUCCCGACAUCCUUCCGACACAUCUGAUGUGACACCAAAAAAUUUUUCAUCUCCAAUCUAAACAAGGCAUUAUCUAUAUUUAAUACUUCAUAUAUAUGUCGUAAGAUUUGAUGUGACGGAGAAUCUGAAAAAUUUUACAAAAUUUUUUGGAACUAAACAAGGCCGAGGAGUUGCUUUACUAAAAGUUUUACCUCAACAGUAUAAGGCCACAGAAAAUUGUUUCAUCGGAGAAGCUAUAACUUAAGCGGUUUAGCUGAAGUUAGAGCUCUACUAAACACGCCUUAAGACUGCACUGCAAACAGGGUAUUCGCCCCAGCAGGUCAUCACCAGUUCACCACCCAUGGUUUGUCGUCGUGCGUCAGCACUAAUGCUGAUUUGGGAAUUGUUUACAGUUUUCAUUAUAAAGUCAUUUUAGCUUUUUAUUAUUUUCUGAAAAUGAACCAAAUGAACUUAAACUUAUAAAAUGCAUAAUAAUAAAUCACACAAGUACAUAAAAAGGUAAACCGAAUUUUGUUAAGUUUCUAUAAAGUAGAUCUACAGGUGAAAAAGAUCAUGAACCGAGGCUUAUAUUUUCUAUGUAAUUACAUUUGUAGAUUUCUUAAUAUGAUUGUUUAAACCUGGUAUAUCUGUUAUAAGAAAAAUAACUACAACUUCUUCUGGAAUAUAAGAGAUUUUUCUAUUCUCUAUAUUUUAAAAAAUGACUUGAUAUUUAUAAGUUUUUUUAUAUAAUUUCUAUGAAAUUUCUAAUAUAGAACUAGAAAGGUUGUGAUUUUUUACCGUCUUCGUUCUAAAAUAAACGCGAUCUUCGAGAAAUCAAGCUCUUUUAGAUUCAACUAGUUAUACUAAAAAUAAUAUUGACAUUUAUAUUUUUAAAUAAGUUUAUUAUUAAAAUUACAUUUUAUAAGUAAUAUAAUAAUGUUUAAUAUAUAUAUAUAUAUAUACUUAAUUUUUUUUUAAAAAAAUGAGGUUUCCAUAGGAUGUUUUGGGAGUUUUUUUUUGAAAAGGAAAACAUGUUUCCUUAUAUUAAACAGCUCCUGGCAACUCGCCAGAAACCAUUGAUAAUACAAAGUUCGGUGCUUGGUCCAGCCACAAACUAGACUCACCGGCAUCUAAGGGCACUCACAAUGCAAGACUCUAUCACAGAGUCCAAGACAAUUAAUUACAUAUUAUUUAUGGUAUUUUACUGAUGUGGCAGCAUAUUUAUUGAAGAAAAAGGUAGAAAAAAUAAGACUCCAAGUCUUAUUUAGACUCCAAGUCCACAUUGUUCGAGGUAAUAAAUAACUUUAGACUCUAUGAUAAAGUCUGCAUUGUGAGUGCCCUAAGGCAGCUCCAUAAGAGGCUAAUACAUCAGCAAUUGAAUUACAAUCUCUGGAGCACUUAGAAAUUUUACAACAAAGAAAAUCAAAAUUCAUUCUAGUCUUAAUCUCUCUGAAGAUCAUCCCCAAUUCAGAACGAUCAUAGCUAGUAGAUGUCAAGGCCGAAGCCAAAAUUUGAGCGUCAGUUUCCAGAAGCACAUUCUGCAUGUCAAGAGAAGAAGCAAGUUGUAGCCUCUUUAGACAUGCUAGACUUUCAGCAUGAAGGGCAUUUGAUACGUGAUGUAAAGAUCCAGCCUUGGCAGCCAUGAAUUCACCUUUAUAUCUUGAAUGAUACAUCCCCAGCCUCCCUUUUUAGUGUCCUGCAUAAAUGUGCCAUCACAAUUUAUCUUGUAGAUGUUUUCUGGUGGUGGCUGCCAUUUUUGUUUUUGGAAUGAAGGCCUGGGAGGUGGGGGAGGUGAGAAAAGCUUCAGCUUCUCCAUAUUGACAAAGUGAUAUGUAAUAGAGUUGCAGAUUUCUUCAGUGGAUCUUCGACUUCUCCCUUGAUCUAAUUUAUUACGAUCAUCCCACCAGCACCACAGCAGUAUGACUACUUUCAAUUUUAUUUCUUCCUUGAGAGCUAGGAUGCCAUCCAUUACUUCUGUAGCUGACAUACAACCUGCCAAUGUUAAUCUCACAUCUUCCAUAUUCAUACUUCUCCAGCCGGGAGUUGGGACUUUUUUUUUUUUUUGUGAGCAACAGCCGGAGCUUCAUUUAUUCAUCAUGAACAUGGUUACAAUCAUUGUUUGCAAUAUCCUGUAGAGCCGGUGGUGGUACAAGCCACUCCUCCACCGGUCUAUCACGAGACACCAAUUUAGCACAUUCAUGAGCUAGCAAAUUACAAGUUUUACUAGAAAACACAGAAACAAAUUCCGCAAAACUCCGGCUUAGAUCAUUGAUUUGUUGAAGCAGUGGCCCAACCUCAGAGUUAUGACGUGAGGGAUGCUUCCAUAGAUUCACGAGUACCUGACAGUCGGUCUCCAAAAUAAGUCGAUGUACCCCCCUGUCAAUGGCGAACUGAACGCCAUCACGGCAUGCCACCGCCUCUGUAGCCAAGGCGGUAAGACAGUGGUCAUACCAACGCGCCUUCCCUCCGCACGGUCGCCGGGAGUUGGGACUUGGGACUGCUCCAGGCGGCCACUUCAUUUGAACGCUACGACUCGAAUAUGCAUGUAACCAAUGUAGAACAGGAAUGCUAAAGGACAAAAAUCCGCACGCAGAUUUCCCCACGGGCCACGGAUGCCGAGACGGAUUGGUGGUCCAUGGUCCAAUCCCGUCGGCGUGAUGGCGUUGGUGUCCCAUGUUUCGCGCGGCCACCUGACCAAACCGCCCCCGCGGCCGCGGCCUAUAAUAAAUAUCAGCGCUGUCUUGAAAGCAACGCGAAAUCGUUUCCUCUGUAACCACUGCCAUCCGUCGUCGUCCUCGUCCACACACGCCACGCGGGUGAACAGUGACCGCUGGACUCGCCACCGCCCUCAGCUUAGCUCAAUGAUUGGGAGCGCCAAGCCGCUCGCGGCGCCGCUGCAGCCGCCGUCCCCCACCGCUCGCUGCCUCGCCCCCUCGUCCUGCGCCCCUGACUCCCCCCCACCUCUCACCCGCGCCGUCAAGAGCCCAGCUGCCCAGUCUCAGUCUCAGUCUCAGUCUGACGCCGCCCCGGCCCCGCCACCACCACGCCCGGCUGAGGCCGCCGCCUCGUCCCACGUGCUGCGCGCGAGCCCGCAGCUCAGCCGGUGGUCCCGGGCGCGGGCGCUGCGGUCGGGCCGCCGGCCGGGGUCGGAGUCGUCGGACCGCGCCAAGCUGUCCUCGGCCUCGGUGCUGCCGGCGACCAAGUCGCCGCGGCCCGAGGACGCUGCGGUGGCGGUGGAGGAUGGCGGGGACGACGACGUGUGCGUGGCCGAGAGGGACGCCGCGCCCGGGAAGGCCAUCUACAUCGUGUCGGACGGGACCGGGUGGACCGCGGAGCACGCGGUGAACGCCGCGCUCGGACAGUUCGAGCACUGCUUCGUCGACCGCGGCUGCGCUGUCAACACCCACCUCAUCUCCAUGGUAAAUAUGCCUCCGUAUACUUUCUUUUUUCUGGAAGUACGUUCAUGGUGUGGUACACUGCUAACUGCUGCUAACUGAUGACAGAGUGAGUAGUUAUCAUGGGAGAUGUCCUGUUUUGUCAUCUAACUAUCGAAUUAGCCAAUUAGGAGCCCUGAAAUUUUUGGACUGUAGAUGUAGAUUUUGAUGAUGCCACAGGUGUAACUGAAUAAUUUAGGCCUUGUUUAGUUCAUCCCAAAAUCCAAAAAAUUUUCAAGAUUCCCCGUCACAUCGAAUCUUGCGGGAGAUUACACAGUUUGUCUGUAAUUUGUGAGACGAAUCUUUUGAGCAUAGUUAGUCCUUGGUUGGACAAUAAUUGUGAAAUACAAACGAAAGUGCUACAGUGUCAAAAUCUAAAAAGUUUUUGGAUCUAAACAAGACCUUAAUGUGAAGUCUCAGAAAAAAAGAAUAAUUUAAUGUGAAAUGCUAAUUUGGAGAAAUGAAACUGACGAAAAGUCGGAUCUUGGAGGACAAAUCAAUGACUGCUAGUUUUAUGGAUGGAAUUUAACACCCUGGGAAUAUCACCCUCCUCUGUAGUGGUAUGUGCACAAGUGAUCUAUUUUCAGGUUGAUUAUAGCACAACUACUAUCAAUUACUGUGCUAUACUACAACUUGUCAGUUUGAAUGAUAAUUUAUUUGUAUACAGAAAUUUUAUUAGCUGCACAUCACUUUUCUAUCUGCGCUGGCUUGAAAAAUGUUAGGUGCACAUCACUUUUUAGUAAUAGGCUGCAUCUUUUGUAAGUAACAACUUCUGAUAAUGUUCUGUAGAUUAACGACAUGGAUCGAAUUCUUGAGGUAAUAAAGCAAGCAGCAAAGGAAGGGGCACUGGUUCUAUAUACCCUUGCUGAUCCUUCAAUGGCUGAAUCAGCUAAGAAGGCCUGCGAUUUCUGGGGUGUUCCGUCCACUGAUGUUCUUCGGCCUACAAUUGAAGCCAUUGCUUCUCAUAUUGGUGUUGCUCCAUCUGGAAUUCCACGAAGCUCUCCUAGUCGACAGGGUAAACUAACAGAGGACUACUUUCGACGGAUUGAUGCUAUUGAUUUUACCAUCAAACAAGAUGAUGGGGCUCUGCCACAGAACCUCAACCGUGCAGACAUUGUACUUGCUGGUGUUUCACGUACAGGGAAGACACCAUUGUCAAUAUAUCUAGCUCAAAAGGGAUACAAGGUAGCAAAUGUCCCAAUUGUGAUGGGAGUGAAUCUUCCAAAGACCCUUUUUGAGAUCAG
rnacentral:lncRNA from 1 species